UUGAUUUCAAUGGGUGACCAGAAGGAAGCUUGAUUACACAGUAGUAUUUCAGGGCCUGUCUCCCCUGCCCCACUUUAAAUAAACAACAUUUUGGAUGGAGAAUUAAGACUGACAAGUGAAUUUUGACUAGGGAUGUGAAUGAGAAGAGAGUGAAUGUCUCCACAUCAGAAUGGAAAAGGCAGAAGGGGCAGUGUGGAUAAAAGCACAGAGACGUGAGUGGGAGAAGAAGGAGUGAAGGGUGAACAAAAAAAAAGAAGUAGAAAGAGGAAAGCAGACUUCAAAUUGAGUCAACAGGAUGAAGACUUGAGAUUUGGAGUCAAAACAUCCAA